rnacentral:rRNA from 1 species
UCUCCACCCGAGACUCAGUGAAAUUGAACUCGCUGUGAAGAUGCAGUGUACCCGCGGCAAGACGGAAAGACCCCGUGAACCUUUACUAUAGCUUGACACUGAACAUUGAGCCUUGAUGUGUAGGAUAGGUGGGAGGCUUUGAAGUGUGGACGCCAGUCUGCAUGGAGCCGACCUUGAAAUACCACCCUUUAAUGUUUGAUGUUCUAACGUUGACCCGUGAUCCGGGUUGCGGACAGUGUCUGGUGGGUAGUUUGACUGGGGCGGUCUCCUCCUAAAGAGUAACGGAGGAGCACGAAGGUUGGCUAAUCCUGGUCGGACAUCAGGAGGUUAGUGCAAUGGCAUAAGCCAGCUUGACUGCGAGCGUGACGGCGCGAGCAGGUGCGAAAGCAGGUCAUAGUGAUCCGGUGGUUCUGAAUGGAAGGGCCAUCGCUCAACGGAUAAAAGGUACUCCGGGGAUAACAGGCUGAUACCGCCCAAGAGUUCAUAUCGACGGCGGUGUUUGGCACCUCGAUGUCGGCUCAUCACAUCCUGGGGCUGAAGUAGGUCCCAAGGGUAUGGCUGUUCGCCAUUUAAAGUGGUACGCGAGCUGGGUUUAGAACGUCGUGAGACAGUUCGGUCCCUA